UCAUCUUUGGGAGGAAUCAAUUGAGUUAAUCAAUUUAAAUGCAUGAUCGAUAUUUGUAUGAUCGAUUUUUGUGUGAUUGAUUUUUGUAUGAUCAAUUUUUGUAUGAUCGAUUUUUGUAUGAUCGAUUUUCGUAUGAUCGAUUUUUGUAUGAUCGAUUUUAAUUGCAGUGCAAAAGCGCUGGCACAUCGAAGUGGAAGGAGCUGGGUUCCUUCGGAUAUUUGCAAGAAAUGGCAGUUAGUCCGUCCAGGUGGUGCCUGGCAUCUGUGUCUGGUCCUUGCCAGCGGUCUCCUUUUGCGUUUUUCCCUUUCUUUCACUGUUUUUUUUCUUUUACUUUCUUCUUCGUUUUGUUUUUCCUCCUUUUUGCUUUUUGUUGUUUUUAGCUCCUUCACUUAUUUUGCUUACAUGAGUGGAAGCGACAGGAAUGCUCAGCGCUGUCCUCAGUUCGAGUCCUGGCUAGAAAGGAGCAUGGCCGAGGAGGACAUGGCUGGGCGGUGGUCUGGUGCUCUGCUGGUCGGGUGGUCGGGUGGGUGGUGGUUGCGGUUAGCAAGGACCCAACUAGGACAAAAGAGCAAUACUAUUCACACACACACACACACAUGGGGGCAUACAUAGCAGGCGCGGCACAUAAGGAUUGCCAUCACAUAUACAUACUACUCCUUUCCUCGCUCCCUCUCUCUCUCGCGCUAAUGCUCGCUCUCCCUCUUCACUCGGUCGCUGUCUCUAUCUCAUAUGUAUUCGACUGUCCCCACGACAGUAUCCCCUGAAGUCGCCCCAGCUCCCCUUUCAGUCCGCCCGUCGAGGUCCUCGCACAAAAAUGAAACACCGCAAAGCGUGUUGCCUGACAUGUGAUUGAGGACGACGUUUAUAGUGGAUACACACACACACACACUCGAGCAAAUCUACGCUAGGGUGGACCUUCAAUCAAAUGUUGGACGUCACAGCCUCUGAAAAUCCUUCAUGCGGUAGUCUUUCAAGCUUUUUCAAGUUAAUUUCAAAUGAGAUUUAAUUUCACAUUUAAUACCAGCAUUAAUGGCAAUAUUUUUAGAUGUCUUGAUAUGUUCCACUUCAUUAGACAUAAUCAAUGUAUAUAUCAAUUAAUAUAAAAAUACUUCAUAAGCUUAGUUAAGUGUAUUUUGGUAGGUGCCUUGAGUAACUGGGUCCAGCCUUGAGGACCGGCACACACAUGAAUCCUCCAGAUACAUGGAUAGUCAGUCAUGGAGAGUCGUCGUCGUGGGUUAGUUAGUUCGUUAGCAUUUAUGCACUCGCUUUGUAUGCACACAACCCCCAGCCCCCAGCCCCCAUCCCCUUCUUUAACCCCUCAUCGCCGGGAUAAACUUGUUAGCGGCGAGAAAUGUUAAAGGUAAUAAAUCUAAACGUGACUCGCAAGUGGCCCAAAAAACAAGAAAAAACAAAAAAGGAUGCAAAAAAAAAAAGAAGACGAACCAGUGAGUUCGUGGGACAUGUGGAGUGCCACUUGGAGCCUAUGGACGAAUUGGAACUGCGUUAUUCCCCGCGACCUUUGACCCCAUCAUCCAUGGCUUAUCGAGCGAUUCCUUUCUGCACUUUAUUUCCCGUUCUUAUCGAAGUUAAGCAAUCCGCAAUGUGAAUCGGAGUGGUAAUUGUAAUUGCGAGGGGAGGUGUUUCAGUUAGUCGGGAAUUUAUUUAUUUAUUAAGCUAAAAGGAUUUGGUAAAUAGUAAGGUUCCAUGUGCAUAAAGUAAAACUUUAUAAUUUAAUUUUUCAGAAAAUAAAAUAAAUAUACCUAUAGUUAA